rnacentral:rRNA from 1 species
GUCUACGGCCAUACCACCCUGAACGUGCCCGAUCUUGUCUGAUCUCGGAAGCUAAACAAGAGAUAUAAAGUCUAGAUC